GGCUCGAUGGCGGACGGCCCGCACCUGCAUUAUGUCGUUGGCAAGAAAACGGUGCAUGUUGCAGGGAACGCUCGUUCGACUCGGGCUCGAGCCA